AGCGUAUCCCCGCAGGCUGGCUGUACCCGGUUUGGAGGCAAACCGGAUGUGACGUAUGCCAGUGGCGUACUCCCUGCCCCCAGAUAGGUACUUGUACGCCUAGGGAAAGACGCUGCUAGGUGCUGCUGCUAAAUCCCUGUGGUUUCUGCCAGCCACAUGCGGCCAUUGCCGGCUCACGUAGGUUCGUUCGCGUGGUCUUGUUACGCCUCGCUGGAUCGUGUUCAGUCAUGCCGUCCUUGCGCGGCGUGAUUGUCGUGCGGCUGGCGUGAGCUGUCUCCACGAUGCGCUUCGAGCGUGUCGAUUUCGCCGUUCUUUAUGUUGGCGUUAACGACCUUGAAAGCAACAUGGAUCCACAAGAAAUGUGCGACAACAUCAAGGUAAGUCUACUGAAAUCACAAAAUUUGAAACAAUAAGCGCUAAUAGUUGUGUUUUCUUUUAAAUUUUAGGCCUUGAUUGUUCAACGAGACGGCCCCCGUCGUGCUGGUUUUCAAGGUGCUCCCUCGCUGCCUAGAAGAUGCUGAUGCGGAAUAGAAAAUGCAAAAACGUCGCUUGCUCAACCGCAAAUUGACGGCUACGCUGAAGCGCAUGCCGUGUCUGCGGAGUUUGAACCCCGAGGUAUGGAACCCCUUUUUCCAGCGGCAUGCCGUUACAUACCGUCAGGAACACGCUUGGCUUAUUUCUGACUCGGUAAAAAAUGUUUCACUUUU
rnacentral:lncRNA from 1 species